UGGGGAAUAUUGGACAAUGGGCGCAAGCCUGAUCCAGCAAUGCCGCGUGAGUGAUGAAGGCCUUAGGGUUGUAAAGCUCUUUCGGCGGGGACGAUGAUGACGGUACCCGCAGAAGAAGCCCCGGCUAACUUCGUGCCAGCAGCCGCGGUAAUACGAAGGGGGCAAGCGUUGUUCGGAAUUACUGGGCGUAAAGGGCGCGCAGGCGGCCAAUCAAGUCAGAUGUGAAAGCCCCGGGCUCAACCUGGGAAUAGCAUUUGGGACUGGUUGGCUAGAGAUCGGGAGAGGAGAGUGGAAUUCCCAGUGUAGAGGUGAAAUUCGUAGAUAUUGGGAAGAACACCGGUGGCGAAGGCGGCUCUCUGGACCGAUACUGACGCUGAGGCGCGAAAGCGUGGGGAGCAAACAGGAUUAGAUACCCCCGUAGUCC
rnacentral:rRNA from 1 species